rnacentral:lncRNA from 1 species
AAUCAUCCAUUGAUGAUCAACUGAUCAAGAUCAGCAUGGCUAGGACUGAGUCGGUGAAAUAGUGAGAAACUAAUUUAGUGAAAUAAUCCUCAGUCUUUGAGCUAUGGAGUCCUCAGUCUUUGAGCUAUUGAGCUCCAAUAGAAAUACGUAUACAAUUAGUACUCCUACAAGCUUGUCAUGUGCCUCUAGCUUCUGUCUGACCACUGGUUUUCUCGACAAGAUAACUGGCCAGCUACUCAGCGAAAUGCAGCUAUCAUUAUUGGCAUUUGUUUUGUAGAUGACAUUUGCCUAUACAGUGUAAAGAACCCAUGCUCAUCUAGUGCUGUUUGUUAAAUUAUAAUUAAUAUACCUUUCUCUAAACUUUUCCUGCCCUGUGUAUAGAGGACCGCUGCUGGGCUGGCACCGGCAAGUACUCCCUCCGGUCAAAAAAAAAAUUAUCGUUUAGGACAAGAUUUUAUCAAUCUUCUAAGAUUUUAUUAAACUUCUAAAAUUCCGAUAAACAAUUAUAUCUUAAAUUCUUAGUUAAAAUACAAAACGGAUUAUAUGCAUAGAUUAUACUCGAAAAAUACUAUCAUACUAUCAUAAACAUAUUAGAUUUUAUAAAUUUAUUUUAACAUAAAAUUGCUUGUUUAAAUUUUAUAAGUUUCAUCAAAUCUUAUCCUAAACGACAAAUAUUUUUUACUGGAGAGAGUAUUAGAUGCCUCAAAAAUCUGCCGAUCACAUCUUCGUUGGAUGGGUGACGCAUCCUCAACGCAACAACUCGAUCAGUUAACGUGGACACCCGUUUGUCCAACCUCUUUAAUGUGCUUUCGAGAUUGAGUUCAAUGAGGACGUAUGUGACCAGACCACCCUAGUGACUGCCUCCUCGACUUCUUUAUUAAAAUUCUCUACAAUUGUUCGUAGUUGCUCUUGACUGACACAAUCCUUGAAAUUAUGAGAAAUCUUAUCAUCAUCAUCACCUACCAUUGUAAACACAAAAUUAAAAUAACAAUAAACAAUGAAGGUUAUCUCUAAUAAUCUACUAUACGGGUGCAGUGGUGCCUCUCCACAACUUAGCAAGAUGGAGCACCUUAACAAGCUCUAGGUUGUACGCCACUAGUUUCUCACUUUGUCAUACUCCAAUCAAUCAAUAGUAUCUAUUAGCGUUUUCUGUAACUUCGUAUAGAAAGGUGUUUCUUCUUUGAAUGGGUUGACAUGGAAAACCAUAAGUUCGACCCUAACCUUUACUUCACCCAUGGGAGGUGGUUUUUCCAUGGAGAAUCACUCAAAUGAUAUGCGAGGCUAAAGGAGGAAAAAGAGCAACAUGCAAAGCCGAAUGCCAUGACUGGAGGGUGCAACCUCGCAUGCUACCACCAUGGCUGGAACGCCUCUUGUGUUCAUGUGGCAACCGUUGCAUGGUCUUCGGGUCCAUGAAACAAAAGAUUUUGGGUCAAAGGUUCUUUGCUUGUUCAACCAUUGUAGAUGACGGUUUUAUGGUAACUUUGCAAACCAUCAAAUUAUUGUGCCUAUAUUUUGUUCUCCAUAUACAAAUUUUUUAUUCCACUUCAGGAACCCUUUAGUAUGUGUGAUUUCACAGAAUGGAUAGACAUGAAGAAAUCAAGAUACCUGCCUGUGGAAGAGCCUAAAACUAUUGAGCAAUACAACCGCUCUAAAUUGGAGUUCAAGCAAAGCCGUGCCUCGUCUAGCAGUGGGGGAGGCAAGACUGACGAGACUGGCUCAUCUACCGUAGUUCACAUCUACAUUAUUCGUAUUGUUACUCCAUAUAUGUCCUCGUCAUGUAGAACCAUUAGUAAUUUUUAGUAUGCUUUCGUAAAAAGUUAAACUUAAUCAUUUGGGAUGAAUUCAUCUUGUACUAUUAUUGCUGAGUUUUCACAAACAACUAUCUCAACUAUUUGUUCCUCAAUUUCAUAAAACUAUAAAAAGUUUUUAUACCUUCACUUUGUAUCCUCG